UUUGGGGGAUGGUGUUCAGGGGGCUGGACCUCCUUUUUUGGAUGACCAAUGCAUUUGAAUGGGGACAAAUUGUUGAAAUACCCCCUUUCUACUGGGUUGGAAACCCCCUUUUAGCCCCUUCACCAGUUAAAUGACAUUACAGUAGUCUCAAUGAUUACGUGGUUGCAUAAGACUUGAUAGAGCAAAUAAAGGUGGCAGUCGUUUACAGAUGUUCAAAUUUUUAAAUCAAUAAGUAAUAGACAAAUGAAGGUAACAAACCGAAAUAGAGGAAACCAACAUAAAAGGUGUCUGCUGCUAUUCAUGCAUUACUCACUUUGAUAAUGCACACUCAGUAAAAAUUUCACAAUUGGGAAUAUGACACAAUAAAACAACAGGAAAGAAAGGAAAUGAUCACUAUAAGCACAUGAUAAAACACAAAGUAAAGAAACAGUUUUUUGCUGUCUUACUUUAGUUGAUUUUUACUCAGUUAACCUAACAUUUAUAUACAUUAUGCAAUGUGAUAGCGUAUUAAAAUAACCAUGUAGACAUAUGAAAAAAUUAAAUGCUAGUGCACUUAACUGGAAUUAUUUGCAAUUCAUGCAUUCAAUUUUAAAUUUCUUAUUUUUCAAAAUAUAUUGAUUUGGUACCUAAUAGUUCAG
rnacentral:lncRNA from 1 species